rnacentral:ncRNA from 3 species
AACGCACCUUGCGCCCCUUGGCUAUUCCGAGGGGCAUGCCUGUUUGAGUAUCAUGAACACCUCAACUCUCAUGGUUCGCCAUGAUGAGCUUGGACUCUGGGGGUUUUGCUGGCCUGUGGUCGGCUCCCCUCAAAUGAAUCGGCCUCCCAGUGUUUGGUGGCAUCACGGGUGUGAUAAAUAUCUACGCUCACGGUUGUCUGCCAGGUAACCUUUGGUGACAAAGGUUCGCUGGAGCUCACAGAUGUCUCUCCUCGGCGAGGACAGCUUUUUUGAACGUUCGAUCUCAAAUCAGGUAGGACUACCCGCUGAACUUAA